GGGCUAGUUGAGCUCACCCUUUUCCUUGUUCCAUUUUUCUUCUCAGGAGACGAGAAUGUAGCGAGUACUAGUCGGGGUGUGGAAUGAUGGUUCUAGAAGUUGUUCUAGUAGUCCUCACUAUUCUGUAAAAUAGUGUAUUAAUAAUUGUAAAUGAGGACUUAUUUGAGUGUGGAUAUUGUCUAGAUGAAAAUAUUUGUAUUUAAACUCACAGUUUUUAUGUUGUAUUAAUAAAGUUGUAG
rnacentral:lncRNA from 1 species